UAUGUGUGACUGGCGUAAACGUGGAGUGAACCACGAGGGAGCACAUAUAUUAUAUGCCGUACGCCUGGGCAA
rnacentral:ncRNA from 1 species